rnacentral:rRNA from 1 species
AGUGAACGCUGGCGGUAGGCCUAACACAUGCAAGUCGAACGGCAGCACAGUAAGAGCUUGCUCUUACGGGUGGCGAGUGGCGGACGGGUGAGGAAUACAUCGGAAUCUACUUUUUCGUGGGGGAUAACGUAGGGAAACUUACGCUAAUACCGCAUACGACCUACGGGUGAAAGCAGGGGAUCUUCGGACCUUGCGCGAUUGAAUGAGCCGAUGUCGGAUUAGCUAGUUGGCGGGGUAAAGGCCCACCAAGGCGACGAUCCGUAGCUGGUCUGAGAGGAUGACCAGCCAAAUGGGAACUGGGAAACGGUCCAGACCCCUACGGGAGGAAGCAGGGGGGAAUAUUGGACAAUGGGCGCAAGCCUGUCCCAGCCAUACCGCGGGGGUGAAGAAGGCCUUCGGGUUGUAAAGCCCUUUUGUUGGGAAAGAAAAGCAGCAGGUUAAUACCCCGCUGUUCUGACGGUACCCAAAGAAUAAGCACCGGCAAACUUCGU